GGGGCUGAUUCUGGAUUCGACGUGAUUUGCGAAACCCAAGGUGCAUGCCGAGGGGCGGUUGGCCUCGUAAAAAGCCGCAAAAAAUAGUCGCAAACGACGAAAACUACGCUUUAGCAGCUUAAUAACCUGCUUAGAGCCCUCUCUCCCUAGCCUCCGCUCUUAGGACGGGGAUCAAGAGAGGUCAAACCCAAAAGAGAUCGCGUGGAAGCCCUGCCUGGGGUUGAAGCGUUAAAACUUAAUCAGGCUAGUUUGUUAGUGGCGUGUCCGUCCGCAGCUGGCAAGCGAAUGUAAAGACUGACUAAGCAUGUAGUACCGAGGAUGUAGGAAUUUCGGACGCGGGUUCAACUCCCGCCAGCUCCACCA
rnacentral:tmRNA from 1 species